rnacentral:rRNA from 1 species
CUACGGGCGGCAGCAGUGGGGAAUCUUGCGCAAUGGGCGAAAGCCUGACGCAGCAACGCCGCGUGCGGGAUGAAGGCCUUCGGGCUGUAAACCGCUUUCAGCAGGAACGAAAAUGACGGUACCUGCAGAAGAAGGAGCGGCCAACUACGUGCAAGCAGCCGCGGUGACACGAGGCUCCAAGCGUUGUCCGGAUUUAUUGGGCGUAAAGAGCUCGUAGGCGGUUGAGUAAGUCGGGUGUGAAAACUCUGGGCUUAACCCGGAGACGCCAUCCGAUACUGCUCUGACUAGAGUUCAGGAGGGGAGUGGGGAAUUCCUAGUGUAGCGGUGAAAUGCGCAGAUAUUAGGAGGAACACCGGUGGCGAAGGCGCCACUCUGGACUGAAACUGACGCUGAGGAGCGAAAGCAUGGGUAGCAAACAGGAUUAGAUACCCUUGUAGUC